rnacentral:lncRNA from 1 species
AUGGUCACGAUCGAUCGUGACACCCACAUUAUACAGGAUGCCGGGAGCCAGAUGCUGGGGAUCAAAGCCAGCAGAGAGCUAACCUUUCUAGAAUGCUUGUCAUUUCCCUUAUGUUGGCCUUGUUGAGCCUCGAGUGUUUUUCCACACUGCUUACCAGGAAAGCUCUUAAAAAAAAAAAAAUGAGCCAGCGAUGCCUGUAUGUUUGCAGGGAGAACAAAGCUGGGAAGAGCUGCGUGAGGAUCGCGUUUCCUCCAGUUGACACCGCCAUCGCUGUCAUGAAGUAUGGUUACCUAGGUGACCUUCAAAGACCUUGGCCCACACUCAAGGCCAAAGAACACACAGAAAAAUACCAACAGUCAGGCCAGUGACAGGGUUUCUCUGCAUAGCCCUGGAUGUGCUGGAACUUGCUUUGUAGACCAGGCUGGCCUAGAAUCCACAGAGAUCUUCCUGCCUUUGCCUCUUGACCAAAUGCUAGGAUUAAAGGCAUGUGCCACCACCACCCAGCUGAGAGACCAUCAUAAAGGGGCAGGUGUGGAGGCAGGAGCUCAUACUGGCUAGUUCAACUGUGCUUCCCAAUACUUGAUGUUCCAAUCUCCCUGGGUUAUUUCUGCUCCAGCAGUCUGGUGUCUUAGGGGGCAUUUCACUCCGGCUUGGAGAGGCAAAUGGGCAAGCAAAGGUGAGCAGCCAAGGAGAACUGUAUCAACACGUGAUUAACAACUCAAGCGGGGAAGACAGGCCACCACAAUAUGGAACCCGGGGACUUGAACUCUUGGUAGCAGCAGGAGACUGGCAGAGCUUGAUGAUACAAGUUAGAAAUGGCACAGUGUCAUAAGCCUUGGGGAGAGUCACCAGGCUCAGAAGUAGCAGGUCUCAGUGUUAUGGUCUGCUCCCCCACUCCCUGCCACAUACACACAGCACAGCUGUAGCCAUUCUGUUCCAUGCCUGCCAGCUAUUUCAUAUUGCUGUAACAUGCCUGCCAGGCAUUAACACAGAGAGUGACUUGGCUCAGCGAAGGGCAUGCUGACCACGUACCCUGUUUUGUUCUGUAUGUUCUGAAUGUUCUGUAUGAGGUUUGUUAAUCUUAAGAAAUUCCAUAAAGCUUUACAUAGGAACCAUCAAAUCAAAGGUCAAUAUGAACU